CAGAAUAUAGUUAAACCCAUAACCUUUCCUUUACACCGAGAAAUUGUUCGCGUAAAUCGAGCUGUUCUGA
rnacentral:tRNA from 1 species